rnacentral:rRNA from 2 species
GACAUGAAGUUAGGUCAGCAAACCUGCUGAAUUUAAGCAUAUAAGUAUGCGGAGGAUAAGAAACUAAAUAGGAUUCCCUCAGUAAUGGCGAAUGAACAGGGAUAAGCUCAGCAUGGAAAUCGGUGUCUCUGGCAUUGAAUUGUAGUCUCGAGUUGUACUGCCAACGGAGGCGCAGAUGUAAGCCUCUUGGAAAAGAGCAUCAACGAGGGUGAGAGUCCCGUUUGUCAUCUGCAGUCCCCCGUGCACGGUGUACUUCUAAAGAGUCACGUUCCUCGGAAAUGGAGCGCAAAGUGGGUGGUAAAUUUCAUCUAAAGCUAAAUAUAGGUUCGAGACCGAUAGCAAACAAGUACCAUGAGGGAAAGGUGAAAAGGACUUUGAAAAGAGAGUUAAAAGUGCCUGAAAUUGCUGAAAGGGAAGCGAAUGGAACCAGUGCUUCUUGGCAAGAUUGGUGCGUGCUAAUGUGAUUGCCUGCUGCUUCAGCGCAAGCGUGGUAGUGGGUUUUGAUCAGGACGUGCGUGUUGUUUCUUGCCUUGUGUGUCAACGUCAGUUCUCGAUCGAGGAAAACGCCAGGGACAUGGUAGCUCGUCUUCGGGUGAGUGAAUGUGCUUGGUUGAACUCAUUUGUGAACUGGUUCUUGCGUGUCUGGUUGCAGUGCAUUGUGUCUUCACACCCCUGGGGUGGGUUUCGAUCUUCCGCAGGUGGGGUGGGCGACCGGUGCAUCUCCCUGACACAUCGACGCUGACUAAAUGGUUCUAUUCGACCCGUCUUGAAACACGGACCAAGGA